rnacentral:rRNA from 1 species
GAUGAACGCUGGCGGCGUGCCUAAUACAUGCAAGUCGAGCGACGCGCGGACGGGUGAGUAACACGUAGAUAACCUCCUCUAUAACUGGGGUAAAUUCGGGAAACCGGUGCUUAUACGGAUACUUAUCGCUUGAUCCGCGAUCCAUUAGCUAGUGGGUAAGGUAACCGCUUACCAAGGCAACGAUGCAUAGCCGACCUGGGAGGGGGAUCGGCCACACUGGAACUGAGACAGGGUCCAGACGCCUACGGGAGGCCGCAGUAGCGAAUCUGAGGCAAGGGGCGAAAGCCUGACGGAGCAAGCGCGCGUGAGUGAUGGAGGCCUCGGGAUCGUGAAACUCGGUUGUGGGGGAAGCGGUAGCUAAAGAGAAAGCCACGGCUAACUACGUGCCAGCAGCCGCGGUAAUAC